AUUUGAUAAAGCAACAUCAGCACAGCAAUCAGGCACAAAAUCAGAAGGACGUACAGACAGCAUCAUGCUCUCACUAACUCAAGUUAACUGCAGCGACUUUAGAUUCCAAAGAAGAGAAGUCAAUAAAACAGCUCCAGUGCUACUCUUCAAGCCCGGCAGAUUAAACAGAAGUCUUAAUUCCUGCCCCAGAAAUAUAGCUUUCUUCUUUCCUAUUUCUGGCAGGAUUGAGCCUUAGUUCUUCAUCAAUCUUCCUCAACAUGGCAAUAAAUUUCGUUGUCAUUUUUGGGUUGCUAGGUAACAUUAUGUCGGGAUUAGUCUACGUCUCUCCUGCAAAUGUGUUCGUGCGAAUUCUGAGGCGUAGAUCAACUGAGGAAUUUGAGAGUGUUCCUUAUGUUAGCAAGUUAUUGAACGCCUAUUUCUGGGUUUACUAUGGACUUAUUAAGCCAAAUAGCGUGCUGGUGGCCACGGUCAAUAUUUUUGGUGCCGUUGUGGAGAUCGUUUUUCUUACCAUAUUUCUACUUUUUGCACCACCAAGAAUGAAGGCCAGGACUGCCAUGCUUGUUGUAGCUCUUAAUGUAGCCUUUCCAGCAGCAGCAAUUUUGCUUACUCAGUUUCUGCUACAUGGAGAUCAGCGGAUCGACGCAGCAGGACUUUUGUGUUCCGUCUUCAGCAUGAUUGCAUAUGCUUCCCCUCUUUCAGCCAUGAAAACUGUGGUGGCACUAAAGAGUGUGGAAUACAUGCCUUUUCUUCUCUCAUUCAUCCUUUUCCUCAAUGGAGGGAUUUGGACACUCUAUGCCAUUCUUGCAAAAGACUUGUUUGUUGGAAUUCCAAAUGGGACUGGAUUUUUAUUUGGUACUGCUCAGCUGAUUCUCUAUGCAAUAUACUGGAAACCAUCUAAGCCGCCCAAGCAAGUAUCUGAUGAUUUGGAGGAUCAACAACACAUCAGAGAAGCACUCAUCCCAGCUUCAAAACCCAUCAUUGCAGAGUGAAAGAGACAUUUACUUCAUAGAAGAAGUCAGUAUUUACUGCCAGAAGUGUUAAAUUUUCCAUGCUGCAAGCUUCUGGUGCUGCCAAGGUUUUUUUGAUGUGCAGAUCGAAGGGGUGUUCAUGCUUCCUCUUCUUUCUUCUUUCUCCUUGUUCUUACCACUUCUUUCUUCUCUUUUCUUGUCAAGUUAUUUAGGAGCGAAUCUUUUUUAAGAUUACGCAUUUGUUCCUGUCUCUUAUGAUUGAGUUUUGAAUAGUAUUGACUAGUUCAGUGCUAUAUGUUGUACACUCUUAUAGUGCUUAUUGUUAUUAUUUUUUAAACAAA